GAUGAACGCUGGCGGCGUGCCUAAUACAUGCAAGUCGAGCGAACGGACGAGAAGCUUGCUUCUCUGAUGUUAGCGGCGGACGGGUGAGUAACACGUGGAUAACCUACCUAUAAGACUGGGAUAACUUCGGGAAACCGGAGCUAAUACCGGAUAAUAUUUUGAACCGCAUGGUUCAAAAGUGAAAGACGGUCUUGCUGUCACUUAUAGAUGGAUCCGCGCUGCAUUAGCUAGUUGGUAAGGUAACGGCUUACCAAGGCAACGAUGCAUAGCCGACCUGAGAGGGUGAUCGGCCACACUGGAACUGAGACACGGUCCAGACUCCUACGGGAGGCAGCAGUAGGGAAUCUUCCGCAAUGGGCGAAAGCCUGACGGAGCAACGCCGCGUGAGUGAUGAAGGUCUUCGGAUCGUAAAACUCUGUUAUUAGGGAAGAACAUAUGUGUAAGUAACUGUGCACAUCUUGACGGUACCUAAUCAGAAAGCCACGGCUAACUACGUGCCAGGCAGCCGCGGUAAUACGUAAGUGGCAAGCGUUAUCCGGAAUUAUUGGGCGUAAAGCGCGCGUAGGCGGUUUUUUAGUCUGAUGUGAAAGCCCACGGCUCAACCGUGGAGGGUCAUUGGAAACUGGAAAACUUGAGUGCAGAAGAGGAAAGUGGAAUUCCAUGUGUAGCGGUGAAAUGCGCAGAGAUAUGGAGGAACACCAGUGGCGAAGGCGACUUUCUGGUCUGUAACUGACGCUGAUGUGCGAAAGCGUGGGGAUCAAACAGGAUUAGAUACCCUGGUAGUCCACGCCGUAAACGAUGAGUGCUAAGUGUUAGGGGGUUUCCGCCCCUUAGUGCUGCAGCUAACGCAUUAAGCACUCCGCCUGGGGAGUACGACCGCAAGGUUGAAACUCAAAGGAAUUGACGGGGACCCGCACAAGCGGUGGAGCAUGUGGUUUAAUUCGAAGCAACGCGAAGAACCUUACCAAAUCUUGACAUCCUUUGACAACUCUAGAGAUAGAGCCUUCCCCUUCGGGGGACAAAGUGACAGGUGGUGCAUGGUUGUCGUCAGCUCGUGUCGUGAGAUGUUGGGUUAAGUCCCGCAACGAGCGCAACCCUUAAGCUUAGUUGCCAUCAUUAAGUUGGGCACUCUAAGUUGACUGCCGGUGACAAACCGGAGGAAGGUGGGGAUGACGUCAAAUCAUCAUGCCCCUUAUGAUUUGGGCUACACACGUGCUACAAUGGACAAUACAAAGGGCAGCGAAACCGCGAGGUCAAGCAAAUCCCAUAAAGUUGUUCUCAGUUCGGAUUGUAGUCUGCAACUCGACUACAUGAAGCUGGAAUCGCUAGUAAUCGUAGAUCAGCAUGCUACGGUGAAUACGUUCCCGGGUCU
rnacentral:rRNA from 1 species